rnacentral:rRNA from 1 species
AUUGAACGCUGGCGGAAUGCUUUACACAUGCAAGUCGAACGGCAGCACGGACUUCGGUCUGGUGGCGAGUGGCGAACGGGUGAGUAACAUAUCGGAACGUAUCCAAUAAUGGGGGGAUAACUAAUCGAAAGGUUGGCUAAUACCGCAUACGCCCUGAGGGGGAAAGCUAGGGAUCGUCAAGACCUGGCGUUAAAUGGAGCGGCCGAUAUCUGAUUAGCUAGUUGGUGAGGUAAAGGCCUACCAAGGCGACGAUCGGUAGCUGGUCUGAGAGGAUGAUCAGCCACACUGGGACUGAGACACGGCCCAGACUCCUACGGGAGGCAGCAGUGGGGAAUUUUCGGCAAGUGGGGGAACCCUGACCGAGCAAUGCCGCGUGAAUGAAGACGAUCUUCGGAUUGUAAAGUUCUUGUUAUUGGGAAAGAAAGAUAUGGCGAGGAAAUGCGUUAUAUUUGACGGUACCUGAUGAAGAACGCCCCGGACUAACUAUGUGCCAGCACGCCGUAC